rnacentral:rRNA from 1 species
UCAAGCUACUAAGGGCACAUGGGGAAUGCCUUGGCGCCAGAAGCCGAAGAAGGACGUAGCAAGACUGCGAUAAGCCCCGAUUAGCUGCCUAGCGAGCUUACUCGGGGAUUUCCGAAUGAGGGAACUCAUCUACUUCGGUAGUUGCCCUAGUCGUGAGACUUGGGCGGUAAGCAGGGGAACUGAAACAUCUAAGUACCCUGAGGAAAGUAAAUCAACCGAGACUCCCCUAGUAGCGGCGAGCGAACGGGGAUCAGCCCAAACCACAUGAGCUUAACGGACUGGAGUCCUAUGCCUUUGUGGUGUUGUAGGGCCAGACAUGAGACCUCUCCAGAGGUCCCGAAGAGUUACAAAAUAUACAUCUAAUCGAACAGUCCUGGAACGGCUGGCCGUAGCGGGUGAAAGCCCCUUAGAUGAAAGGUGUAUAUCUCUUAGUUUGGUUCCUGAGUACGACGGGACACGUGAAAUCUUGUCGGAAUCUGGGGGGACCACCCUCCAAGGCUAAGUACUUUUGGCGACCGAUAGUGAACAAGUACCGUGAGGGAAAGGUGAAAAGCACCCCGUGAGGGGAGUGAAAUAGAACUGAAACCAUGUGCCUACAAACCGUAGGAGUUCCAAUUCGUUGGAAUGACUGCGUGCCUAUUGAAGAAUGAGCCAACGAGUUACGUUACGUGGCAGGUUAAGGCGUGAUGCGCCGGAGCCGAAGCGAAAGCGAGUCUGAAUAGGGCAAUUCAGUCGCGUGGCGUAGACCCGAAACCGUGUGAGCUACCCUUGGCCAGGUUGAAGCGAAAGUAAUAUUUCGUGGAGGACCGAACCCUUGUAAGUUACAAAUUGCUGGGAUGAGCUGAGGGUAGGGGUAAAAUGCCAAUCGAACACGGAGAUAGCUGGUUCUCCCCGAAAUGCAUUUAGGUGCAGCGUCAAGUUUUACUUUGCGGAGGUAGAUCACUGGAUGGGCUAGGGGGCGUGAGCUUACCAACCCCAACCAAAAUCCGAAUACCGUAAAGGGUAUCUUGGCAGUGAGACAGUGAAGGAUAAGCUCCAUUGUCGAAAGGGAAACAGCCCAGAUCGCAAUCUAAGGUCCCGAAGUGUGUGCUAAGUGUGAAACGAAGUGGGAACGCCCAGACAGCCAGGAGGUUGGCUUAGAAGCAGCCAUCCUUUAAAGAGUUCGUAACAGAUCACUGGUCAAGGGUUUCCGCACGGAAAAUAAACGGGGCUUAAGCACACCACCGAAGCUGCGGAUCUAUUCCAUUUAUUUGGAGUGGGUGGUAGGGGAGCGUUCUCAAUGCGCCGAAGUUAGGCUGUAAGGCCUGGUGGAGCGUUGAGAAGUGAGUAUGUUGGCAUAAGUAGCGACAAUGUCGGUGAGAAUCCGACACGCCGAAAGUCUAAGGUUUCCUACGCAACGCUGAUCGACGUAGGGUUAGGCGGGCCUAAGGUGUAGCCGAAUGGCGAAGCCGAUGGACAGCAGGUCAAAAUUCCUGCCCCGUCUUAAACUUGUUUGAACUAUGGAGGGGACGCGGACUGAUAAGUAACGCAUGCCUAUUGGAUAUGGUGUGUGCAUUUCUGUAAGUGAGUGACGGGAGGUAAAAAGCUCGUCAUGUUUGAGCCGAGGGAUGUGCGAACCAUGAGGUUAUCCUCAUGGGACGUUGCCGAUUCUAUGCCGCCUAGAAAAGCCUCGAUAAUUAGAGUUUAAGUCGUCCGUACCGCAAACCGACACUGGUAGACAGGGAUAAAUGUCCCAAGGCGUUCGAGACAACCAUCGUUAAGGAACUCGGCAAAUUAACCCCGUAACUUCGGAAGAAGGGGAGCCUCUGAUGUACUAGGACUUGCUCCGAAAGCAUUGGUGGCCGCAGAGAAUAGGUUCGAGCGACUGUUUAUCAAAAACACAGGUCCGUGCUAAACCGAAAGGUGAUGUAUACGGGCUGACGCCUGCCCAGUGCCGGUAGGUUAAGGGAGGAGGUGAGAGCUUCCGACUGAAGCCCCGGUGAACGGCGGCCGUAACUAUAACGGUCCUAAGGUAGCGAAGUCCCUUGUCGGGUAAGUUCCGA